rnacentral:rRNA from 1 species
UACGUAGGGAGCGAGCGUUAUCCGGAAUUAUUGGGUGUAAAGGGUGCGUAGACGGGAAUACAAGUUAGUUGUGAAAUCCCUCGGCUUAACUGAGGAACUGCAACUAAAACUAUAUUUCUUGAGUGCAGGAGAGGUAAGUGGAAUUCCUAGUGUAGCGGUGAAAUGCGUAGAUAUUAGGAGGAACACCAGUGGCGAAGGCGGCUUACUGGACUGUAACUGACGUUGAGGCUCGAAAACGUGGGGAGCAAAAAGG